rnacentral:rRNA from 1 species
UGGGGAAUAUUGCACAAUGGGCGCAAGCCUGAUGCAGCCAUGCCGCGUGUAUGAAGAAGGCCUUCGGGUUGUAAAGUACUUUCGGCGAGGAGGAAGGCGUUAAGGUUAAUAACCUUGGCGAUUGACGUUACUCGCAGAAGAAGCACCGGCUAACUCCGUG